CGAACGGGUGAGUAACACGUGAGUAACCUGCCCUUCACUCUGGGAUAACUCCGGGAAACCGGGGCUAAUACCGGAUAUGACAUCAACCCGCAUGGGUGUGGUGUGGAAAGUUUUUCGGUGGAGGAUGGACUCGCGGCCUAUCAGCUUGUUGGUGAGGUAAUGGCUCACCAAGGCGACGACGGGUAGCCGGCCUGAGAGGGCGUCCGGCCACACUGGGACUGAGACACGGCCCAG
rnacentral:rRNA from 1 species